UUGAAAUAAAACUAAAACAAGUCAGGCGAAGCAAACAAAAAUGUAAAAGUCAAAAAGGUUUUUUUUGUAUUUUUUUUUUUUUUUUGCAAAAAGCCACCACUGACUGUUUUGAGUGGAAGCCAUUAAACUCCAACAAAAGUAGCAACAAAAUUUAGUUUGUUGUGUUUAGUUGUUCAGCACAAGAAAUAUUCGGAAAUUAAGAAUGAAGUACAAUGACCGGUGGUAACUGAACAGAAGAAAAAGAAGAAGAAUGUUGUUCGCAAUAGUAACAGAAGCAAGAACAGGCAAAAUACACACAGAAAAUAAAAAAAGAACAACAUAAAGUAGCGGCAAAAAAGCUUUGGCAAGUAACAACCACAACACUAGCAGCAGCAACAACAAGAAACAUUACAUGAUUAAGCAAUCGUAACAAGAACCAGCAACAUAAAGCAGCAGCGCAGCAGCAACAAAAAAACAACAAUUUUGAAACCUGAAAGGAAAGGUGGUAGCGCAUGUUUUGAUAUUAUGACACACUCUUUAAGAUCGCGCACGACUAGAAACCAACGGCCAAGCCAGUCAGCCAAACAGAACCAACAUCAUUGUAUUAAGAACGAAAGAAAGACCUGACAAACAACUACAACAUUCUCAAUAAAAAAUACGUUAAAACUCCUUUUUCUUACCAAAGUCAUGUAUACAAAUGUGAAGUUAAAAAGUUAUGAGGCGGAUAAAAAUAACAAAUCUUGAUAAUACUACAGGAGAGGCCAAGAAUAUAGCAGUUUAAACAAAUACCAGUAAGCGCAAUUGCUAUGUAUGCAUUAUGGAUUAUCAUGAUCGGAUUGUUGCUACUAAUGCUACAAAUAAUGUUAUUUGUUAUAGAAAUCUAGUAGUAGGUAUUGAUGCAAGAUAAUAUCUUUAUUGGGAUCCAAAUACAAAACUCAAAUCUA